rnacentral:rRNA from 1 species
UACGGGGGAGCAAGCGUUGUUCGGAUUUACUGGGCGUAAAGGGCGCGUAGGCGGCGCAACAAGUCACUUGUGAAAUCUCCGGGCUUAACCCGGAGCGGCCAAGUGAUACUGUCGUGCUAGAGUGCGGAAGGGGCUACUGGAAUUCUCGGUGUAGCGGUGAAAUGCGUAGAUAUCGAGAGGAACACCUGCGGCGAAGGCGGGUAGCUGGGCCGACACUGACGCUGAGGCGCGAAA